rnacentral:rRNA from 1 species
GACGAACGCUGGCGGCGUGCUUAACACAUGCAAGUCGAACGAAGUGGCGAACGGGUGAGUAACGCGUAAUCAACCUGCCCUUCAGAGGGGGACAACAGUGGGAAACGACUGCUAAUAACGCAUACUGAAGGAGGGGAUUGCGUCUGAUUGGCUAGUUGGGGGGGUCACGGCCCACAAAGGCGAUGAUCAGUAGCCGGUCGGAGAGGAUGAACGGCCAAAUUGGGACUGAGACACGGCCCAGACUCCUACGGGAGGCAGCAGUGGGGAAUCUUCCGCAAUGGACGAAAGUCUGACGGAGCAACGCCGCGUGAGUGAUGACGGCCUUCGGGUUGUAAAGCUCUGUUAAUCGGGACGCGGUACCGGAAUAGAAAGCCACGGCUAACUACGUGCCAGCAGCCGCGGUAAUAC